rnacentral:misc_RNA from 1 species
AAGUCGUAACAAGGUAACCGUAGGUGAACCUGCGGUUGGAUCAUUAUUGAAAUCCAAAAUUAUUCGAGGGGUUUGUUUUUAGAAUUUAUUCUUUUAGCAAGCCACUCAAUACCCCAAACCUUUUAUAACUUGUGAGCUCAUUGGAAACCUAGUUUUCUUUGGGUAAGCAUGUUUAAAAACUUGCUCAUCAGUUUGUCAUUUAAUUUGUUGGAUACUAAUUCUGCAAAGAAAAUAGAUCCGACAGUUUCUUGACUCUCUGCUAAGCAAGCCUAGAUUUAUAAACUUUUGUUUUAUUUUAUUUUCUUUUUGAGAAAUCAAUUUAAAGAGAAAACAACUUUUGACAAUGGAUCUCUAGGUUCUC